AUUAUAUUCCCUCCGUCCCAAAAUUCUUGUCUUAGAUUUGUCCAAAUACGGAUGUAUAAAGUCGGUACAUCUGUAUUUGGACAAAUCUAAGACAAGAAUUUUGGGACGGAGGGAGUAUAAU
rfam:Triticum aestivum genome assembly, contig: Triticum_aestivum_CS42_TGACv1_scaffold_501227_6BL